AAGGCCACCGGAGCACACUGAUAUGAGACACUGAAGAAGCCCACCCAUGGGGCAUAAAAGAAGGACUCUCACAGCAGCAGUCAGACGCAUGUCUGCCCUCCACAGACAGGACGUUCUCCUACCCCCUGGAAACUGCCCUUCCUGCUCUGCUUCUGAGCCCAGACUGGUAAGAGGCCUCUCUUCGAGUCAAGAGACUGAGCUCCUUGCCGCGGCGUAUUUUGACGAUCUCCGUGUGUCUCUGUCAGCAAGUGUCUCCGGGUGGCCUGCCAAGGACUGAAACCCAUCAGCUCUCUGCAGAACCCUGGGAGGCAGACAGUCAUCUGAACCUGACCCAUAACUGCAGGGAACAAGCCAGAUAAGAAAAUGACAGAACAGCUGAAUCCAAGGAAGGGCAUGCCCGGCAGAGAGAGGUUCCUGAGGAGCGUCCUUAAUUAGGUCUAUAUCAGAUGUAUUGUCCUAGAAGAACCUGGAAACCACAAAGAGUUCCUAUGAAAACAAGAGAGGGCAGUUUGGCAAUAUGAAUCGACUGAGAAGUAACUCGCUGAUAAAAAGAAAACAGAAAACAUUAACGACAGGAUGAAUGGUGCGAGGCUGCUAAGAUCUUAAUGAAGAGUGGGGACAGCUACCUGGAGAAUAACAGAGGGCAUUAAAGAACCAGCACCUACACAGCCAUGGAGAUGACAGGAGCCAGGCACUGCUGACCAGCAAGGGUGCAGUGAGGCAGGAAACCACAGUGAAUAGCUUCUCCCUUGGCCAACACCAGAGGGGAUGGACUCAUGCACGGAGAGGAGGCAGCAAUGGAAAUCCAACUAAUAUGGCCAUGGUCGGGGCGUUUCUGAAGCGGCCCCUCCCGAAGUCAGCUCUUAGCAAAUCAAGAUUCAAGUCCACAGGGCUUAUCUGUCAACUCCUUGAAAGCAGAAAAAGGGGCCCAACACACAGAAGGUGCUCAAUAAAUAUUUGCUGAAUGCAUAAAAGAACAAUGAGCAACAUCAAUAAAAUGUAUCUUGUGCUGAA